rnacentral:rRNA from 1 species
UACGAGGGGGGCGAGCGUUGUUCGGAAUUAUUGGGCGUAAAGGGCGCGUAGGCGGUCAGCACAAGUCAGUUGUGAAAUCUCCGGGCUUAACUCGGAAAGGUCAACUGAUACUGUGCGGCUAGAGUGCAGAAGGGGCAACUGGAAUUCUCGGUGUAGCGGUGAAAUGCGUAGAUAUCGAGAGGAACACCUGCGGCGAAGGCGGGUUGCUGGGCUGACACUGACGCUGAUGCGCGAAAGCCAGGGGAGCGAACGGG